UAUUUUGCAAUGAAAAGAAGUAGUAAUAAGCAAUUUAUUUAAAGAGAGUUAGUGUUAGGUGAAAACUAAUAAUAAUAGCUUAUGAAUUAGACUUGGAGCAAAAACGUUAAUCGCGUUAAGAUAUAAGUGCAUAGAAUCUAUGAACUAAGGUGGUACCGUUCUUAUGAACCCUUAGA
rnacentral:ncRNA from 1 species